rnacentral:rRNA from 1 species
GGACCCGUGAUCCGGGUUGCGGACAGUGUCUGGUGGGUAGUUUGACUGGGGCGGUCUCCUCCUAAAGAGUAACGGAGGAGCACGAAGGUUGGCUAAUCCUGGUCGGACAUCAGGAGGUUAGUGCAAUGGCAUAAGCCAGCUUGACUGCGAGCGUGACGGCGCGAGCAGGUGCGAAAGCAGGUCAUAGUGAUCCGGUGGUUCUGAAUGGAAGGGCCAUCGCUCAACGGAUAAAAGGUACUCCGGGGAUAACAGGCUGAUACCGCCCAAGAGUUCAUAUCGACGGCGGUGUUUGGCACCUCGAUGUCGGCUCAUCACAUCCUGGGGCUGAAGUAGGUCCCAAGGGUAUGGCUGUUCGCCAUUUAAAGUGGUACGCGAGCUGGGUUUAGAACGUCGUGAGACAGUUCGGUCCCUAUCUGCCGUGGGCGCUGGAGAACUGAGGGGGGCUGCUCCUAGUACGAGAGGACCGGAGUGGACGCAUCACUGGUGUUCGGGUUGUCAUGCCAAUGGCACUGCCCGGUAGCUAAAUGCGGAAGAGAUAAGUGCUGAAAGCAUCUAAGCACGAAACUUGCCCCGA